GCAGAGUAGAUCGAAACGUGUAGUGCCGGCAGAACGGGGAGUUGUCCGCCGGACGAAUGAGCAAGCAGUUCGCAGUGUUUCGGUCGCAUCCCGCUGC
rnacentral:ncRNA from 1 species